rnacentral:rRNA from 1 species
CGUACACUCCUGCGGGAGGCAGCAGUGGGGAAUAUUGGACAAUGGGCGCAAGCCUGAUCCAGCCAUGCCGCGUGAGUGAUGAAGGCCCUAGGGUUGUAAAGCUCUUUCACCGGUGAAGAUAAUGACGGUAACCGGAGAAGAAGCCCCGGCUAACUUCGUGCCAGCAGCCGCGGUAAUACGAAGGGGGCUAGCGUUGUUCGGAUUUACUGGGCGUAAAGCGCACGUAGGCGGACUAUUAAGUCAGGGGUGAAAUCCCGGGGCUCAACCCCGGAACUGCCUUUGAUACUGGUAGUCUUGAGUUCGAGAGAGGUGAGUGGAAUUCCGAGUGUAGAGGUGAAAUUCGUAGAUAUUCGGAGGAACACCAGUGGCGAAGGCGGCUCACUGGCUCGAUACUGACGCUGAGGUGCGAAAGCGUGGGGAGCAAACAGGAUUAGAAACCCGAGUAGUCCC